UCCGUAGGCGGGCAAUUAAGUCAGAGGUGAAAUCCCACAGCUCAACUGUGGAACUGCCUUUGAUACUGGUUGUCUUGAGUUAUAGUGAAGUAGAUAGAAUAUGUAGUGUAGCGGUGAAAUGCAUAGAUAUUACAUAGAAUACCGAUUGCGAAGGCAGUCUACUAACUGUACACUGACGCUAAUGGACGAAAGCGUGGGUAGCGAACAGGAUUAGAUACCCUGGUAGUCC
rnacentral:rRNA from 1 species